GAUGAACGCUGGCGGCGUGCCUAAUACAUGCAAGUCGAGCGAACAGACGAGGAGCUUGCUCCUCUGACGUUAGCGGCGGACGGGUGAGUAACACGUGGAUAACCUACCUAUAAGACUGGGAUAACUUCGGGAAACCGGAGCUAAUACCGGAUAAUAUAUUGAACCGCAUGGUUCAAUAGUGAAAGACGGUUUUGCUGUCACUUAUAGAUGGAUCCGCGCCGCAUUAGCUAGUUGGUAAGGUAACGGCUUACCAAGGCGACGAUGCGUAGCCGACCUGAGAGGGUGAUCGGCCACACUGGAACUGAGACAAGGUCCAGACUCCUACGGGAGGCAGCAGUAGGGAAUCUUCCGCAAUGGGCGAAAGCCUGACGGAGCAACGACGCGUGAGUGAUGAAGGUCUUCGGAUCGUAAAACUCUGUUAUUAGGGAAGAACAAAUGUGUAAGUAACUAUGCACGUCUUGACGGCACCUACUCAGAAAGCCACGGCUAACUACGUG
rnacentral:rRNA from 1 species